rnacentral:rRNA from 1 species
UGGGGAAUAUUGCACAAUGGGCGAAAGCCUGAUGCAGCCAUGCCGCGUGUAUGAAGAAGGCCUUCGGGUUGUAAAGCACUUUCAGUGGGGAGGAAGGGAGUAAAGCUAAUACCUUUGCUCAUUGACGUUACCCGCAGAAGAAGCACCGGCAAACUCCGUGCCAGCAGGCGCGGCAAUACGGAGGGUGCAAGCGUUAAUCGGAAUUACUGGGCGUAAAGUGCACGCAGGCGGUUUGUUAAGUCAGGUGUGAAAUCCCCGGGCUCAACCUGGGAACUGCAUCUGAUACUGGCAAGCUUGAGGCUCGUAGAGGGGGGUAGAAUUCCCGGUGUAGAGGUGAAAUGCGUAGAGAUCUGGAGGAAUACCGGUGGCGAAGGCGGCCCCCUGGACGAAAACUGACGCUCAGGUGCGAAAGCGAGGGGAGCGAACAGG